rnacentral:lncRNA from 1 species
AAAGGAAGGACACAGAGAUGCUCCAGUGGCUGCAGCAAAAAAAAGAGCAGAGUCUGACAGCACUUAAAACUGAACACGGCACUCAUUAAAAGGAAGCCACUAUCAUUAUGAUGAAGAUGAAGAGGCCUAUAAGCAUUGGACUCCAGCUCAGACAGGCUCCUCCACACUCCUCCACACUCCACACGGCUUGUCUAAGGCUCUCUCCUUACUCUGAUCAACUGCAUCUAGCUUCUCUCACCAUAUCUAAGCACCUGUCCUGAUGGAGCUCACACUGGCCACCUACCCCUCAGCCAACAAUCUUGCAGAGAAAGGCAACUGAACCUCUUAGCCUCUCUCCGAUUCAUGUGUCCUCUCCAUCCUGUUGGCCUAAUUUCACUUCAGCCUUAAAACACUUCUGUUACGGUAAGUCUCCCCAUUACAUCCAUUUUAAGUCUCCCAAUAUCCUGAGCUCAGACUCUACUCCUUCAGCUUUCUUCCACGGCCAGCUUCCCAAAACACAGUCAUGUUAUCCCUGCUUAAAGACUUCUUGUGUGGGCCAGGGAGGUGGCUCAAUAGGUAAAUGCCACUAAAUCUACCAACUUGAGUUUGAUUCCCAGGACCAACACGGUAGAAAGAAUCAGCUCAUACAAGCAGUCACACACACACACAUACACAGAGAGAGAGAGAAUAUAUAUAAUAAAAACUUUUUUUAUUAACUUCACUGUGAACAACAAUAAUCUCUGCUUUGAUGCAUGCCAAAGCUCUCCCCUUCUGGCCGCUUGGAUCUACUUCAAGCCCUUUGCCCUGCAAAUAAAAAAGAGUGUCACCAGGACCCCACUCUUCAUCCAUCACUACUUAGGUCAACAGUCAUCUCUUUCCUGAAAUUCCCCAGCUUCUCCCUGGAGAGCCUGUUAUUUCCUUUCUGCCCUUGUAUAGACACCUUGGACAAAGUUUUGUUACAGCACCACACUUUACUGAAAAUACUGCCUACCAUCUUCUGUCCAACCUCCCCCUAAGAGAAAGAGCUUUACCCCAAAGUGUCUAAGCACUGAGCACAGUGCCUUGCCCAGAGAGGUACAUAAUAGUCAAAAGUUAUUGUGCCAGCCAGACUCCAGGCGUAAGAUCAGGGCCAGAUCAGAGGAAUGACCCCAACCUCAUAGCCCAUAAAAGCAGAGCUGGAGAGCUGACUCAGUGGUUAAGACAGCACUGUGCAACCACAAAGGCCUAAGUUCAGGCUCGAGUACCCACUAGCAAGCUCAGCACUGUGAGGGGAGAAGACAGUAUUGUCGGCGUUUGCUGGCUGCUUCAAGAGGCCCAUAGUGAGACUCUGUCUCAAACAAACAAAUAAACAAACAAACAAAGGAAUAAGAGUGUUAGAGAAAGCUUCCUUCUUUGACCUCCAGGGAUGUGCACAGGGACACACACUCAGACACAUAUAUGCAGAUAUCACACCACAUUCACACAUACC